GCCGCAUGUGGGAUCCUCCUGGACCGGGGCACAAACCCGUGUCCCCCGCAUCGGCAGGCGGACUCUCAACCACUGCGCCGCCAGGGAAGCCCUAUCUGUGCUCCCUUUUAGCUCAUCGACCACCCUUUACUAUUUUGAAUUAUCUGGUAAUUCAUGGAUCUCUCCUUCUCUGGGGUUGGCUUCUGGAGACUUAUUCUGACCAGGUGGUUGGGCUGUGUUUCCCUUUUCUUUGUAUGCCAUGUAAUCUUUUAUUGGGAAUUGGGCAUUUGGAAAAACAGCCACCUCUCCCAGUCUCUGGACUGGCCUUGUAUGGGGGAAGUCAUCUCAGCUAGAGAUUUGGGGGACCUUUCAACCCUUUUCUGGGGAUGCAUCUUUUCUGGGCUUGUGUGUAUGAUUUCCUAGUUAGACUUGCCACUGUUUUCUUCUCAGGAGCCUGCAGUCUCUUACUCCCUCUGGUGUCUGUCUGUGGUACUGCAUUCCCCACGGUAUAACUUGGACAGAACAUGACUGUUCUCAAGGGCCCCCCAACCUGGCAUCCCUCCCAUCAGUGUCCUGAGUCAGAGAGACAGAAACUAGUCUCUUAGGCAGCCCCUCAAAAAGCCAAAACUUUGGACUCAUGUGUCACUCUUUUUUUUCCCUCCCAGGAGAGAAGCUGGGAGUUUUCUGGUCUUCUGUCCUCACUGGGGGAGUGGGAGGGACUAGGGCAGGCGAAAUGCGAGGAAUGUUCUUACAUCCUGUGUGGCUCUUCUUGGCUUCGUGCUCACCUGGUGCUGCAGCCUCUUCCCUGGAUUCUGGAGUUCUCACAAGGACACUGGUCUGUGUAUCCCUGCUAUGUCGUUGUCUCUGAUUGGGAAUGAGGGUCUGGAGCUUCUAUUCCUCUGUCUCGCUGACGUCACCCUACGGACUCUUGCUGAAAUAUAAUCAAAUAUCAUUGUUACCACUAAAAAUAGCAGUAAUCUCAGUAUCCUUAAAUAUCCAGUAGUAGUCAAAUUUCCUUGAAUGGUUUUAUUGCGUAUUUAUUUGAAUAGGGAUCUAACUGAUUGAUGUGUUUCUCAAAUUUCUUUCAAUCUAGUGGUUCCCCUUCCAUCUAAGAAAUCAUUUAAAUACACACAGGCCUCAUUUUGCAUGGGACCAGAGAAAAUAAACACGCAAGCUGAAAACAUGCAAAAUGGUCCUAAUAAUCAAUAGGAAAAAAAUAUGAUUGUUCUGUGCCUGUAAAAUUUUACAAAAUAUUAAGUCUUUUGCUUUCAGUUAUAACUGUAAAGGAAAAUGUAAAAUAGUAGAACUUAUAUUUAAUAUACUGUCAUCUGAAAUAUUAGUAAUAUUGAGAAUUAAAAUAUUCUGUGUCUUUGUUAAAAAAGAAAAAAGCAAAAAACAAAAACCCAAACUUAAUCAAUAGUAAUUUGAACAGUGCUUGUCUUCUCAUCACAUAACUUACAAGCAUUUUUUUCUAUGCCUUGGUGAGUUGUCAUAUUUCUAACUUUGGUUAUGAAAUAUUUCUGGAUUCUUUUUAAUGUGUAGCUUUUUAAUGGUAUCCCUCCUCUGGAACAUCAUCGUCCUUCUCAUCACAACAGCUUUCCUUAUUCAUCUCAGUAAGUCUGUCUUCACUAAGUCCCUUUGGCUGCAUCUCUGAGCCUCUCAGUGUUGCACUGUCAACACGCCCAUGGUCCACUGUUUGUUCCAUAACCCCAUUUACAUUUGAUUCAAACUUCACUUCCAUCGUUCUCACACUUCGUUUCUUUGCUGUGCUUUUGUCUUUGUUGGCCAGUUUCCUGUUCUAGCUCUCCAUUUUUGUAAAAUGUCACAUGGGUUUAUUGCUGGGAGACACAGCAGCAACACAACUACAUGCUUUGUUGUCUUUGCUGCCUCUGUGAAGAUUGAGUAACACAUGCUUGGUGACCAAUCACUAGACUUUGAAAGAAAUGACAUUCUAUGUGUGUGUGUUAUUUACUCGGUGAAUUGUGGACUGAAGAGCUAGCCACAGAGUUUAUCCUCUGUGCAGUUAUUCACAAAUGAUAUACUGUAGUAGCUGUUAACAGGAACUGUGUUCGUGGGGACGGGUGGUGUCUCCCUCAACGGUGAUAAGCAAAGCUCGUGCUUGCCAGAACCUUGCAAAGCCAAGGCAGCCUGCACUUGUCUUAGAAGCAUCUCUUAUUUCUUGGGGUCAGUUAUCUAUUUACUUUGGCUUUUCCUUUUGAAACUAUGGGGAUCUUUGUUUUCUUUUAUUCGUAAUUAAGAAUUAUAAUUAAACUUUUCUUUCUGGUACUGGUCUGGAUUUUCCCUCAUAUGUAGAUGGACCUGGUUCUCUGAUAUGCCUUUCUUCACCAUUAGAAGGAUUUCCAUGGACUGGAAUUCCCAGUAGGGUCCACCUAUAGGGAGUCAACUGCUAUACUGGGGACCCUCACAACAGACACCCCUUAAGUGAAGAGCAACAGUUGGUCACACUUGAUACUUUAUCUUUUCCCAGGCGUCACUCAACUUACAGAUUCUUCCUCAUCCAGGACACACCUCGUUAGCAAGAGAGGUGGAGUAACGUGGUGUGGGGUAGAGGCUCCUAAGCAAGGCUGUCUGUCCUCAAAAAUUGCCUCUGUUCUUUUCUAGCUGAGGCUGUGAGUUAUUUAUACUUCUGUAUCUUAACUUUUCUCAUCAAUAAAAUAACAGUAGUAGAAAAUGCCUCAUGGAAUUGUUUGAAAAUGAAAAUACGUAGGACAGUGGUUGGCACAGAGUAAGAGCUGUUUAAGUGUUUGAAAAUGAAUAGCUUUGAAUUUCAAGAAAUGAAAUGGAUCUGAAAAUAGGCCCCUUUAAUUUCUUGUCUCCACAUCUGGAACAGUUCCCUGAAUACAAGGAGGUUUAAGAAAUUUUUUUUCCUGAUUAAAAAUCAACUAGGUUCCGUGGUGACUGCUUUUGCAUUUAAGUAGGUGGUUAAUAGGAAGUAAAUGUAUAAGUUUGAAGGACUAAGUGUGUCCCUGACAGGCCACACAGGCAUCGCAGUAGCAAUUAAAAUGAAUUUAUCGUACAGCCAGCGAAGAGAGGGAAGAGACACAGCAAAGGCAACUCGGUGACACGAUUCCAAACAUCUGUUUGCUUCUAUUUUUGGUAAUCAUUGCAUUCUCACAGUACUUCAGUCAGAGCUGGGGGAAAGCAAGAACACUACCUAUUUAAAGCCCAACAAAAAGACCAUAAUAAAAUAUUCAGCAAAAGUUCUAACAAAGCUGUAUUAAACAGAAAAAGAACCAUGGACAUUGUUGUCCUGUAAGCGCUUGUCAGGUGUUUCUGAUCAUAUUAUUCACUUAUGAUUGCGCAUAUUGUACAUCAAGUCUCAAGUGUCUUCAUUUCUAAAGGCAUCAACACUGAGCAGGAGUCUUUCAAGGACAAAUCGCAUAAAACUUUCCUUUAAAGAAAAUGAGGGAAAACCCACGAGAGCAAGAAGUAAAUUGUCUUUUAAAACAGGAAGGAGAAAUAAACCAGCUACACUAAAAUUAGGAAGCCUCACUGAUCCCAAUUCAGUCAGUUGUUGCCAUGAUGUCAGAAAAUGAUGUUGACAGAUGCAUGGUCCUUAAAGAUGUUUUUAUUUUUCCUUUGAAACAGUCUCAAACUUGUAUAAAAGCUGCAAGAACAGUACAGAGAACGUUUCAUCAGCCAUUUGGGUGACAAUUAUCAACAUGACAUCAUCAUCCAAAUACUUGGGAAAAGCGUUCUGGACCAGGGGGAGACCGCCUCUGUUUCAUCUCCUGAGUGUCACCGGGUUAGAUGCAGCCCAGAGAACCUGGCGUGGGCUCAGGGCAUGGGGAGACUCCGGCUGGGCCUCUGCAGCCGGAUCCCAGAUUCUUUUCCAUUAUGGAAGAUGACUUCUUAACCCAAGGACAUACCUCUUAAUCUAAGAUCCCAUGCAGGUGACCGCAGGACACGUGGCCGUCCUGUCUCCUCUAGUUUCUCUUGAUGACCUUGACGGUUCUGAGGCUACUGGCUGCGAAUAUUUUAAGAUGCCCCUCGGUUUGCACGUGUCUGAUGCUUUUCUGGUGGUCGAGCCGGGUUAUGGAUUUGGUGGCAGAAGACCACAGAGGUGCCGGGCUGUUUCAUCACCUGGUGUCACGCAGUUGAUAUGACCAAUCACUGGGCGUGUUGACCUUGGUCACCCGGCUGAAGGGGUGCUUGGCGGGUUUCCCCACCAUCAAGGCCCGAGCAGCCCUUUGGAGUGUGGCUGGGACAUUUUCAAAGCUGUUGACAGAUGGGGAGCUGCUCUUCAGAGAGGAGAGGUGAUUAGGACACAGAUGUGCACGGAGGGAAGCCAAAGUGAGGACGCAGGGAGAAGGCGGCCAUCUGCCAGCCCAGGAGAGAGGCCUCGGGAGGAGCCCACCCUGCCGACACCCUGAUCUUGGACUCCCAGCCUCCAGAACUCUGAGAGGUGAAUGAUUGUCGUUUAAGCUGCCCGUGUGUGGUGCUUGCUACAGCAGCUCUGGCAAACUAACCACUGGCUUUGAUAGAGGCCCCAGAAGAUUCCGGGCCGGGGCAGGAGCGUCCCCAGAGGUGACCAGGCCACAGCUUCUGGUGUCAGCAGGUGACCAGUGCAGGCAGCUCUGGGUGAUGCUGUCUCCUCCCAGGGUACCAGGAGGACCUCCUGAGGCCAUGAGGAAAGCUCUGAGCAGCCUCUCCUUGGCUUGCAGAUGCCGUGUUCCCGGGUGUCUUCAUGUGGCCCUCCCUCUGUGUGUGCUCUGUUUCCUCCCACGAUGGUCUGGUAUUAGGGGCCUACACGGGACACCAUCUAAGCUUAGCUGAUUACGUCUGUAAUGACCCUGUUUCCAGAUGAGGUCCCAUUCUGAGGUCCUGGAGGUUGUGACUUCAACAUACCAUUCUGGGAUGACACAAGUCAACUCAUAACUGUUGCCAACCCCCAAAUCUAAUUCCCUAGUUUAGUUUCUCAGGGUUAUAAUUUGAAUAUUUAAAUCAAUAUCACAGAUGGGAGAGGUUGCUAAAAAUUAGAAAAAACCCACCCAGUCUAGAGAAACCCGAUUUCUGGGUGCCGGGCAAGGGUCAGGGGGGUGGUCUGCAUCCACAGUGCCCCCAGAGCAGCCCUGGGGAGUCUGGAAGCUUAGCCUUUCUCCACUUCCCUGCUGUAACAGCCUCCUCGUGGGCUUUCCUGUCCACCCAUCCCUCACGCUGCUGGCCGACUGGACUUUAUCACGUCUUUAUUUCACAAACACACUGACUUCACUGUGUGCUUGACUCAUAGAGAUGUUACUACACUCAUUGCUUGUAGCAACCGCAGGAAGUGAGUUCUGACCUUACACCUAUUUGGGAGCUGAGCUCAGUGAGCAGAGCUGGGCCAGGAGGGCACCGCCCCCAGGCUGUCAAAUGCAUAGUGCUGCCAGCAUGGCUUACCUGGGCCUCCACCUUCUCUCCUCCUGGGGCCUCAUCCCCGUGGACUGCGCCACUGCCCCCCCACCGCCUGCAGAGCGAAGGUGGCCCAGCGCCAGGCGUAUCAGCUGCCGUUCUCGGGCCCCUCCCCAGACCUCCAGCCCAGAACCAGAAGCUCAGCGGGGGAUGAGAAGGCAGGGAUUUGUGAUAAGGAGGCGAUUCGGAGACACUCUCAAGCUUGAGACUCGUGCCCAAGCUCCGCCCGUCUGGGGGGCUGUGUCCUUGAAGCCCCCGCCGUCCCGGCCCCACCUCCCCCUUCGAUGCAGCCUUUCUCUGAAACUCCCUGCGGCCUCUUCUUCCGCUACCGGCGCUCGGUCCCUCUUCAGAGCCAGUCCCGAGUGUCCCUUCUUUAUGAAGGCUUUUUGCUUUAUCUCCGUGCCUGUUCUUGUAACCAGCCCUGCGGUCUCUCCUCAGAAGGAUCUUCUUCACCUUCUGUACCUACUUUUUUCUUUAUAAUAGUUUUCUUGCACUUGCACUGUCAUCACUGCACUUGUCCCCUUAAAGCCAGCCAUCUGAGACUGUGUUCAACAAAGCACUGUAUUGAAUGACUACUAUUAACCCAUGGAAAACCUUCUUUAAAACUAAGUACAUGGACAAAAAAGAGAUUAGGAGUGAUGAUUCACUUUGGGAAAAAAAUGUCUUACAAAGAAGGAUUCAAAAGAUAAUCCUUUAACAGGGCAAUUGUUUGAAAAUGAUUUCUCUCUCCCAUCCAAACAUCUGGGCUCUGGCUCCCACCGACAGUCUGAAGGCUUCCGUGUCUGCUGUGUUCCCAGUUCUGUCACAUGUACCCGCCUGCCCACAUCAGAGAGACUCUCUCAGGGCACUUAGAUUUGGGAGUCCGCCAUCUAGCGCUCAGAGUUGAAUGGAACGCUCCCGCGUGGUCUGACUUUCGUGAAAGCGCAUCUCUUUUUGUUCGUGGUCCUUUGCCAGCUACUUCACUCUUGAUUUCAGCAACCACAGCUCACUGGCGGCUCUGUGGGCGACUAAAACCACCAGACGCCUCUCCUCACUUGAACUGCGAAGUCUCAGACCGCCCUGACGUGCGUCUGAUCAGAGAGUAUGUUGAUGACUCUGUUGUUUCUAACAGAUGCAUAAAUACUUUGCAUCCUGGAACAUGGCUGCAUCAGAUGAGUUUUGAGUAACCACAACCCCCACGUCAUCUAUUUGAACUGGACUCACCACUGACGCUGAAAGGUCUUGAAAGGUCUUGCCUGCCCUCCAAGCCCUCUGGCCCGUCCCCUUCGCCACAAAAGCCCAAAAUGCUCCAAACCACGUUUUUAAAGAACUCAUUUGGUGGUAAAACCUGAUCCAGAGCUAUUUAUAGGCUCUAUUCAUCCCACUUCCUAUGAGUUCAGGCAUUUUUCCCUGCAGAAAUGUUUUAUUUGAUUAAUGGUUUCUUCUCUAGUGUUCACUGAGGGUUUGCCACCAAAUAUUCAUGGUAUUAACCUCUUAAAUAAAAACAAAAACAAAAAACAAACCUUAAAUCAAAAACACAUCUGACCCUGAGGGUAGCAGAUGAGGGCUUAAGGACUUGUCUGAGCCCCAGCAUAAGUGUAAUUUAAAAAAAUUCACAGAUUGUUUUCUUGCUUUGUGGCACGGUAUUGACUUUUGGUGCUGUAAAUAGAGCCACUUUUGGUUCUAGAAGUUCUGUAUUAACAUUGCACAUUGGCCAAUCCAGAUUAUAUCUGACAAAUCUCUCCAACAGCCUAGAGAUGGAAGCCACCAAGACUGCCCCCAUCAUUUCCAGAUUUAAGGGAAAUAUUCACUAUCACUCGGUGACCAUCUCGGGAGCCUUGGGACAUUUUUGGCACU